rnacentral:rRNA from 1 species
AUUGAACGCUGGCGGCAUGCUUUACACAUGCAAGUCGAACGGUAACAGGGUGCCUGCAGCGCCGACGAGUGGCGAACGGGUGAGUAAUGCGUCGGAACGCGCCGAGAAGUGGGGGAUAACGAAGCGCUAGGUGCGAUAAUACCGCAAAAGUACUUGGGUAGAGAGUGGGGGACCACCGGACCCACGGCUAGUCGCAGGGCAGAUGUCGGAUUAGCUAGUAGGCGGGGUAAAGGCGCACCUAGGCGACGAUCAGUAGCGGAUCUGAGAGGAUGAUCGGCCACACUGGUACUGAGACACGGCCCAGACUCCUACGGGAGGCAGCAGUGGGGAAUUUUGGACAAUGGGCGAAAGCCUGAACCAGCCAUGCCGCGUGUCUGAAGAAGGCCUUCGGAUUGUAAAGGACUUUUGUCAGGGAGGAAAGCCCUAGUGCGAAUAUCACUUGGGGGUGACGGUACCUUAAGAAUAAGCACCGGCUAACUACGUGCCAGCCGCCGCCGUAA